GAGGAGGUCAAAAGAGUUAGAUCACAGGUAGUCGCACAGGAGGGUAGAGGUGAAAAAAGGGGAGAUUUUGGGGUUGCGGGAAGAGGUUAGGGGGAUAGGAGUGUCGUUUACCACCACCACCCAUGUGCGCCUCCUCUCUGAAGCAGGGACACUACGGGACGGUACCGACGGGCGCGCGACCAGCGUGGGGGAGACGGAGGAGGGGGGGCAGACCCGUGGUACGCCCGUUGGGGCGCGCGGCGGCGGCCAGAGUCGAGUCGCGACUGGCCAGUGGCCCCUUCCGUGUGAAACACAAGUCACGUUAACUGCCUUAGGGGGUCACCGUUAGAAGUCCACCUUCGUUUGAGCAGAGUAAGGGGUUGAGUUGACUACAGAUGUCCUGCACUACUGAGUCGGUAUUGUACAUUUCCUAAGACAUGCUAUAGUACCUCGCAAUUUCGUCUACAAUACCUACCAGUGUAAUAGAAGUACUGUCCACUAGGUCAAUGGGACCCAACAACCCUUGGACUAUACCGACAAGUCAACUUAGGAAGACACUUUUCAUCGUUAUUUACCUGCCGACAUUAGUUCCAUGGUAUACCGCACGUAAAGUUCAUAUUAAUAAAACAAGCUCUCCCUUUUUUAAGGAGAUUACUGUAGCAUACCUCCGGACCUGGACUCACGAGGAAUAGCUAUGGAAGACAAUCGGUCUUUUUAGUACAGUAGGAACAUUUUCUAGUCACCUACCUUUGGUCACACCGUCCAUAAAGGAGAGGAAGGACCCCUAGCACCGACUACCUUCGACUAAGACAACUUCUAGUUUAACGACUCUCUCCCUUCGUACUCUCGUAACACUUUCGGGUGAGACAAUAUCUAUACCACCUGCCUCGAAGUAGACAUCCACUCGUAUAAUAUUACUCUGAAACCUUACCGUGUGGAAAUCGAAGUCAGUCAGGUAGGUAGUCACACGUACUACUAAAACGACGUCGACUAUUUAGUUUACGUUAAUUUCAUUCACAUUUGGUCGUACUCUAUUUAGUCGGACAACUCCUCGGUACCCAAAAACCUGGAUAGCAGAGUCGUUUCUUGAGACAACGUGUUCACUUUGCGUUCUUUCUGUCUUCCUUCAAAAACUUAUGCCUUUUCCUAAGUCCACUUUAUUGACUUUUGUACGGACUUGUCCUGGUCGGACACCUCCUCGGUACCAAUAAAGUCAGAACCCACUGUCGUUUGUCUCGACCACAAUAUAGUUUUGCCUUUCAUCUUCGUUUCCCAUAAUACUUUUCCAAUUUUCUUAAACUAUUUGGGAGUCGUCGAAGACUCUUCCUAUACGAGCGGUCACCACUUGGCGGUUCUCAGUAUAAUUAAUUGAGGAGAUAGACGUCAUGUGUCUCUUAACGUCAUAACCUUCUACCCUUUAAUCAACUUGAGAACGACCUCGGGUAUUUUUUGUUACAUGUAACACUGUCAUAAAUAAAUCCAUAUUAUUGUUUUGAACACGGAGUGUACCCUCCACGAAAACAGCUGUAACCUUAAAACUCUGGAAGUGAAUACUCGUAUUUCGUUUUGGCACUAGGUAAACACAUAGGAGUUUAACAGUUCCUAUAAUUUCCUCCAAGACGAUUACUAAGACCAAUAUUACUACUCUCGGAAGACUGUAUGCUACUACUACUACUACAACUACUACUAUACCGACUGUUGCUCAAACGUCUACUUCUUUUACUGCUACUAAGUAGUUGUAAAGACCGAGUCUUACAAUUCCUUUUACUUCUUCCGAACCUGUAACACAGGGUAAGAUUAUAUUUCUUCUAACUACCACGACUUAAACUUUUACAGAGACCAACCCUACUACUUUAACUACUAGUACACCUUCUACUUAUGUUACUACUAGUGAGUGGUCCUCUAGCCAGUCUCUAGACGUUACUAUAAUUCUGUAAUAGAAGGUAAGUCGUACGAAACUCCCUUAGAUUGCUACUAUGUUUACCUACAUCCACCAGAGUUCAAGCGUUCCCGUGUUUCUAGUACCAAGUUCAACAGUUCCUCCCUAACCCGUGCUUUCCAGGUUGUGACUCAGGGAAAGGUACGAAUUCUUCGGCUAAAACCUAUAACCAGAGAGCACCGUUGUUUCAACCUCAAAGUUUUUUCUAAUGACCCUAUCUUGCGUGGGCCAACUUCCCGUAAUGUUUCAAUAAUGCUGGAGGACCUAAAUGAGACUGCCGAGCAUGUCAACGGCGACCGGUAAGAACCCUCCUCAAUUUGUUCCUGGAACUAGCCAACAAUAGAUGGACCUUUCCUUAUUGACUUGUACGAGUUAGACGACGGGAUCGACGGCUCCUCCCACACCUUCCACGAUAAGGACAAUACAACAUAUCUAGUUUCCCGGUCCGAGAUAGAUAACAAGUUCUACUAAAAUUACUCUUCCAGUUCUCCAACCAACACCUAAGAGGAGCGUGGAUGGUACUCCAAUGCCCGAUAGAGGUUCUCCAACGUGGACUCGAGACGUUAGCUCAGCUGGAGAUGCUCUUUUCUUGAGGGUAUAAGCUACUUAUAUUCUAACUUUUCCUCUAGCUGUUAUAAGAGACGUUUUCCCAACACGAUGUCUUACCCCCAAGAAAUUAAUAUCUUGUCUGACUUCGAGAUCAAAGGUAACUACACUUACCACCGGUGUCAUACAAACCAGUUCCCUGCAGCGUCCUCUUCCGAUAAAAUCUACAGUUAGAACUUCGACGUUUCGUUUAACGAGCGCUCGACGCGAACUCCCUAUAACCACCGUAGUAACAACAACUAAAAUAGCUGUACUGCCUGCUAAGUUUGUUUUCUAAUCAGAUACUUCUUUACUUCUUUCGUCAUCUUUUCCUGGCGAGUUGGCAACCACAAAGUCUUAACAGUUUCGAUCCAAACUACCUUUAUUGAUCUUUUUCCCAAGCUGGUUCACAAUGAAAGUACUAGUCGCUCGGAACAGGUACAACGGUACCAUAACCAGCACAACUUCGAGAACUAUGCAGGAAAAGAUUCUAUCUUGCACUUUAGACAGCUGCGGACCGGCAGAGACCAGUAUUUAGUCUAGGUCUCUUUGGUUUUAGCACCGGUUCUAAAAACGAAUCCCACCUGGUACUCUACACGUGCAUGAACUGUAGUCCGUUUUCCUGAUUUAAUCCCUAGGAAUCAUCGAGGGAGUUUCAAACCCAAAACAACUUCUAACGAGCUCCAAAAUGUGCCCCACGUAAACUUAACGAUGGUAUAAGACUAGUCUUCCUGUGUCUACUCGUCUUCCUUAAUAGUGGUCUCAGUGGUGAAGGUUCCCUUCGUCCUUCUGGCUCUGACAGACAAAAAGGAUAUUUCUUUACCUACUCGGCACGUUUCGCUCGGUUCACUUAUAGAACGUUUCUACUCUGCUUGAAAAAAAAGUUUCUCGACUUGACUUAGGGUCUAACUGUUCCCCACUAAAAGGCUCCCGAAACGACACAAGGUUGCCACUAGGGUUGUCGCCUAUAAGUACAAACGGACCGAUUUCAAACCUGUUGACAGGAACUAAAACAUCAACGGUGAGUCACUUCAAAUUGCACUUUACACCCUUCUAACAUCCUGCGUUACUUUAAUCUAACACACUUUCGACACCCCCGUCUCGUAUCAAUGCAUCAACAACAUAGCGGGAUCAGUCUAAAAAACAAAUAAAUAAGUUAGUAACAAUUUGCCAUUACUAUUGAGGGCUUGCAAAUCCUCAAUUCGUACCGUUGGGCUUGCCCAAAUCUACCGUUCAAUCAAACGCACUCUAAUUCUUUUGAACCGUUAAAAAACUGUUUUUCUUUCCUACUUCAACGGUAGAGGAUAGUUGAUUUUAACGGGAUAGUUGAUUUCAACGGUAGGAAAUACUUGAUUUCAACAGUACAUAUUUGACAGUACAUUUUUACAAGCCCUGCUUUACGAGUUUUAGGCUUGGCAAGCCCUCAAUAACUUAAGGAACAAUUUUGUACUUUACUAUCAUAAGCCUUGUUUCUAACAUAACUUAAGGUGCCGUCGACUGUGUAGCUUG
rnacentral:rRNA from 1 species